GACGGAGGAUGCAAGUGUUAUCCGGAAUCACUGGGCGUAAAGCGUCUGUAGGUGGUCAAAUAAGUCAACUGUUAAAUCUUGAGGCUCAACCUCAAAAUCGCAGUCGAAGCUAUUCGACUAGAGUAUAGUAGGGGUAAAGGGAAUUUCCAGUGGAGCGGUGAAAUGCGUAGAGAUUGGAAAGAACACCGAUGGCGAAGGCACUUUACUGGGCUAUUACUAACACUGAGAGACGAAAGCUAGGGUAGCAAAUGGG
rnacentral:rRNA from 1 species